UGUUUUAUGAAUGUUGUAUAAAUUGUUUUUUGAUAAUUUCAUGCCUUUUUACUAAAACGGCAUUCCAUAGUUCUAUUAUUGAAUUGUGCUGAUGUUUGGGUAUUAGGAUUUUUCAAAUCGAAUACAAAGCGACGAACUUUUGUUCAAUUUAUAAACAUACUCUUCUUUUUUAUAUCCAGGGUCGCUGAUAAGUCUGGAAACGGUCGAUUACCGGGGUAAUAUAGGUACAAGAAGUUUAAUACAAAAGCUUUGGAGUUCGUCAAUGGCAGGAAUAAUUUUAAUUAUACAGGAUUGGUCAUAAACGCGUAGAACACCAAAUUUUUUUUAAUGGAAUAUCCUGUAUAUUAUUCGAUAUUUCAGUUCUCAAUUUUAAGCAAAAUUUGUAAGAAGUAUAAAGUAAACAAAUCCAAUCGUUUCCGAGUUAUCGAGUUAUCAAAACAAAAGGCUAUUGACUACAAGAAUACACAAACGUGGAAUAAACGUCUUACUUGAAUAACACGUUGUAUUAUUUAUAGGGAUGGACGAAGUCGAUGUGGUGUAUACUGUGCCGCCAAUGCAUGCAUAGAGCAAGUAAUACAACAUGGAGAGGUAGAUAUUUUUCAAGCCGUCAGGACAGUUCGAAGACAUCGUCCGCAGUUGGUGGAAGCUAUAACUGAAUAUAAAUAUUGUUAUGAUCUCGUCCUGCAUUACGUCCUUCAUUAUUUAAAUAAAGAUUUAAAAGAAAAAAUGAUGCACAAAUGAUAAAAGUGUUGUAGACAUAUUUUGUAUUAACUUUUACUCCAGCACCAAUUAAACAAUCAUACAUUUAAAACUACCACUAAGGCAGAAAGUUUUGUUUAAAUGUUAGCCAAGCUAAAUAUAAAAAUUGAUAAGAUACCUAUUUUUGCUGUUCAUAUUUUUAUUGUAUAGAUUUAAAUUAAUAGUUAAUUAAGCGCGCAAUUCUUUAAUAAGUAGGUACUUAGGUAAAUAACCAAUGUGAUUUAGUACUUCUGUAGAAAUAAAGUAUUUUACUUA